rnacentral:misc_RNA from 1 species
UGCCAGGUUUGUCAUGCUGCUUGCAUAUUUUUUACUGAAGCUGAUGGUGCUGAACUAAGAUUAAACUGAUAUUUGCGUCAAUUUUCUUGAAUUAUAAGAUUCUGCCUUUUGUCGAUAAUCCUUACAGAGCACUCCUUGUCAUUGAAGGGAAAAUAAAGUUGCAUGUGCAAAUUUUGAGUACAAUGGUUUACUUAAAUCUAUUUCCAAUUUCUUUUC